UGAGGAAUUGGCUAGAUAUUACCAAGUGGCGUCUGCUCUUUAUGAAGUGUUAAGAGAUGUAACAAACCACAAGGUUGAUUCUGAGGUGAUGAAACGUGCUAAAGUAGUAGAGGAAAAGAGUGCUCAUUUUAAGAGUUACAAGUACAACAUAGUCCCCCUCAAUUUUCCUGGUUCUGCAGAAGCAGUUGUGGAACUCCCGGAG